GCCCACAGCGCCUAACCUGAGGCUCCCAGUCGCGUCGGGCCUCCCGAGUGGGGCGCGUGUAGGGAAGACCUCCGCACGUGUCCCCAGCACGGAGCAGGGCCAGUUUCAGGGAUCCUUCAGCAGUACAGGGCUCCCUACUCAGAUGGACCCUGGGCUUGGCAUAUGGCUCUGCUGUUGCCAUCUUCUGUGUCCCAAAAUUCAUGUUGAAACAUAAUCCGGAUUAUAGUGGUAUAUGAGGUUGUUUGCACUCUUCUGCCAUCUGUGUUGUACUGCAUCACGACUGAGAAGAAAGAACAACAUAUCUUCUGAUGGAAGUGGGGGUGGGCCAAAUGAAACACUGCUCUCAUAUAAAUGCAACACUUCUAGGUUUCAGUUCUCUCUGUGCCUCAUUGCCAUGGAUAAAUACAAGGUUAACACUCAGGAGAUCAGUGAGAGGGCCACUUAUUCUAGCUUAUUAGGGUGGGCACAUUUCCAAUAUGUAGCCCCAUUAUGUAAAGUAUCUUGAGUCUUCUAUGGGGGGAGGCUGGUAUGUGUAAGCAAUACACAUGAGUUAUUUGAGAAUGUAA
rnacentral:lncRNA from 1 species